rnacentral:rRNA from 1 species
GACGAACGCUGGCGGCGCGCCUAACACAUGCUAGUCGAACGAGCGAGAGAGAGCUUGCUUUCUCAAGCGAGUGGCGAACGGGUGAGUAACGCGUGAGGAACCUGCCUCAAAGAGGGGGACAACAGUUGGAAACGACUGCUAAUACCGCAUAAGCCCACGACCCGGCAUCGGGUAGAGGGAAAAGGAGCAAUCCGCUUUGAGAUGGCCUCGCGUCCGAUUAGCUAGUUGGUGAGGUAAUGGCCCACAAAGGCGACGAUCGGUAGCCGGACUGAGAGGUUGAACGGCCACAUUGGGACUGAGACACGGCCCAGACUCCUACGGGAGGCAGCAGUGGGGAAUAUUGCACAAUGGGGGAAACCCUGAUGCAGCGACGCCGCGUGGAGGAAGAAGGUCUUCGGAUUGUAAACUCCUGUUGUUGAGGAAGAUAAUGACGGUACUCAACAAGGAAGUGACGGCUAACUACGUGCCAGCAGCCGCGGUAAAACGUAGGUCACAAGCGUUGUCCGGAAUUACUGGGUGUAAAGGGAGCGCAGGCGGGAAGACAAGUUGGAAGUGAAAUCCAUGGGCUCAACCCAUGAACUGCUUUCAAAACUGUUUUUCUUGAGUAGUGCAGAGGUAGGCGGAAUUCCCGGUGUAGCGGUGGAAUGCGUAGAUAUCGGGAGGAACACCAGUGGCGAAGGCGGCCUACUGGGCACCAACUGACGCUGAGGCUCGAAAGUGUGGGUAGCAAACAGGAUUAGAUACCCUGGUAGUCCACACUGUAAACGAU